rnacentral:rRNA from 1 species
UGGGGAAUAUUGGACAAUGGGCGAAAGCCUGAUCCAGCCAUGCCGCGUGUGUGAAGAAGGUCUUCGGAUUGUAAAGCACUUUAAGUUGGGAGGAAGGGCAUUAACCUAAUACGUUAGUGUUUUGACGUUACCGACAGAAUAAGCACCGGCUAACUCUGUGCCAGCAGCCGCGGUAAUACAGAGGGUGCAAGCGUUAAUCGGAAUUACUGGGCGUAAAGCGCGCGUAGGUGGUUUGUUAAGUUGGAUGUGAAAUCCCCGGGCUCAACCUGGGAACUGCAUUCAAAACUGACUGACUAGAGUAUGGUAGAGGUUGGUGGAAUUUCCUGUGUAGCGGUGAAAUGCGUAGAUAUAGGAAGGAACACCAGUGGCGAAGGCGACCACCUGGACUAAUACUGACACUGAGGUGCGAAAGCGUGGGGAGCAAACA